GAAAUGCGAUAAGUAAUGUGAAUUGCAGAAUUCCGUGAAUCAUCGAAUCUUUGAACGCACAUUGCGCCCUCUGGUAUUCCGGGGGCAUGCCUGUCCGAGCGUCAUUGCGAACCCCUCAAGCACGGCUUGUGUGAUGGGCCCUCCCGCGUCUUGGUCGUAAAGACGGGCCCGAAAUGCAGUGGCGGCUUCGCGGUUAUCCGAUCAGCCAGAGCGUAUGGGGACUCUCUCUCUUGUCACACGCCCGCGGCGCGGACCGACGCCUGUCGACCUUUAUUCAUCUUCUCUCGGUUGACCUCGGAUCAGGUAGGGAUACCCGCUGAACUUAAGC
rnacentral:misc_RNA from 1 species